rnacentral:rRNA from 1 species
CUUGGUUGAUCCCGCCGGACCCGACUGCUAUCAGAGUGGGACUAAGCCAUGCGAGUCAACAUAGCAAUAUGUGGCAUACGGCUCAGUAACACGUAGUCAACAUGCCCAGGGGACGUGGAUAACCUCGGGAAACUGAGGAUAAACCGCGAUAGGUCAUCACUUCUGGAAUGGGUAAUGACUUAAAUCUAUAUGGCCCCUGGAUUGGACUGCGGCCGAUCAGGCUGUUGGUGAGGUAAUGGCCCACCAAACCUGUAACCGGUACGGGCUCUGAGAGGAGGAGCCCGGAGAUGGGCACUGAGACAAGGGCCCAGGCCCUAUGGGGCGCAGCAGGCGCGAAACCUCUGCAAUAGGCGAAAGCUUGACAGGGUUACUCUGAGUGAUUUCCGUUAAGGAGAUCUUUUGGCACCUCUAAAAAUGGUGCAGAAUAAGGGGUGGGCAAGUCUGGUGUCAGCCGCCGCGGUAAUACCAGCACCCCGAGUGGUCGGGACGUUUAUUGGGCCUAAAGCAUCCGUAGCCGGUUCUACAAGUCUUCCGUUAAAUCCACCUGCUUAACAGAUGGGCUGCGGAAGAUACUAUAGAGCUAGGAGGCGGGAGAGGCAAGCGGUACUCGAUGGGUAGGGGUAAAAUCCGUUGAUCCAUUGAAGACCACCAGUGGCGAAGGCGGCUUGCCAGAACGCGCUCGACGGUGAGGGAUGAAAGCUGGGGGAGCAAACCGGAUUAGAUACCCGGGUAGUCCCAGCUGUAAACGAUGCAGACUCGGUGAUGAGUUGGCUUAUUGCUAACUCAGUGCCGCAGGGAAGCCGUUAAGUUUGCCGCCUGGGGAGUACGGUCGCAAGACUGAAACUUAAAGGAAUUGGCGGGGGAGCA